GUGCUCACUUCAGCAGCACAUAUACUAAAAGUUGGAAGGCUACAGAAAAGAUUAGCUUGGCCCCUGCACAAGGAUGACAUGCACAUUUUGAAGCAUUCCAUAUUUUU